rnacentral:tRNA from 1 species
GGAGACGUCGCAUAGUCCGGCCGAGUGCACCACCCUGCUAAGGUGGAGUUCCCUAUGGGGAACCGAGGGUUCAAAUCCCUCCGUCUCCG